rnacentral:rRNA from 1 species
GAUGAACGCUGGCGGCGUGCCUAAUACAUGCAAGUCGAGCGGCAGCGCGAGUAGUUUACUACUUGGCGGCGAGCGGCGGACGGCUGAGUAACGCGUAGGAACAUACCCCAAAGUGAGGGAUAAGCACCAGAAAUGGUGUCUAAUACCGCAUGUGAUCUAAGGAUUAAAGCUUCGGCGCUUUGGGAAUGGCCUGCGUAUGAUUAGCUUGUUGGUGAGGUAAAAGCUCACCAAGGCGAUGAUCAUUAGCUGGUCUGAGAGGAUGAUCAGCCAGACUGGGACUGAGACACGGCCCAGACUCCUACGGGAGGCAGCAGUAGGGAAUCUUCCGCAAUGGACGAAAGUCUGACGGAGCAACGCCGCGUGAGUGAUGAAGGCUUUCGGGUCGUAAAACUCUGUUGUUAGGGAAGAACAAGUGCUAGUUGAAUAAGCUGGCACCUUGACGGUACCUAACCAGAAAGCCACGGCUAACUACGUGCCAGCAGCCGCCGUAA